rnacentral:rRNA from 1 species
GACGAACGCUGGCGGCGUGCUUAACACAUGCAAGUCGAACGGAAAGGCCUUUUCGGUGGUUCUCGAGUGGCGAACGGGUGAGUAACACGUGGGUGAUCUGCCCUGCACUCUGGGAUAAGCCUGGGAAACUGGGUCUAAUACCGGAUAGGACCGCACUUUAGUGCGUGUGGUGGAAAGUUUUUUCGGUGUAGGAUGAGCCCGCGGCCUAUCAGCUUGUUGGUGGGGUAAUGGCCUACCAAGGCGGCGACGGGUAGCCGGACUGAGAGGUUGGUCGGCCACAUUGGGACUGAGGUAAGGCCCAGACUCCUACGGGAGGCAGCAGGGGGGAAUAUUGCACAAUGGGCGCAAGCCUGAUGCAGCGACGCCGCGUGGGGGAUGACGGCCUUCGGGUUGUAAACUCCUUUCGCCAGGGACGAAGCGUUUUGUGACGGUACCUGGAGAAGAAGCACCGGCUAACUACGUG